CCUCGAUUCACUUCGGAGUUUUUCUUUUCCUUUUUUUAAAUAUAUAUAUUUUUUAACAUAACGUCGUCAUCAUCGUUUUUUUAAAUGUUGACGUAUCACAUGUUGCGAAAACAUGGAGUUUCUUAAAGGGCCAUGGACAUACAGUAUGAGGAACCACAUGAUCAAAAUCACAUCAUUUAACUGUUGCGGCAUAAAGGGGGCGAUACAAGCUUCUAACAGAGCGCUCACCCUGCGUAGCCCAUGACUGCCGAGAGAUGGACUUGGAGAAGGAGCUGGUCAAAGGCUUUUGUAAUAUGAGAGAAGAUAAAAGGCUCAAAGGCGCCCGAAGUGUAAGAGGGAGAUAACAUGGAGGAGGGAGAGACAACAAUAUGUCAAAUGUGAAGUAAUUGCUGUUUCUCCUUGCCACAAACACGAUUUAUAUAUUUUUUUCUAUCCUCUGCCUUUAUUUUAUUUUAAGUACAUAACAUAAGUGUUUCACAAAAUAAUGUUUCAUUGAGCUAUUGCCCCCCCCCUCCCCAAAUCAUGAACUGAAUUUUUAUAAUUUUUAGGAUAGCUGCUGACAUGGCAAAAGCCCUUAUUACAUUGCAUACACAACUAAAGUAAACGAAUGGCAAGCUACAAAUCACCACAUGGGGGCAAAAGUACACCAAAUUCAGACUUUUACACCCAUGUCAUAAAAUAGGCUAUAUUGUUAGUUCAUUGUGUAGAUGCAAGGGUUUUGCUUAUUACAGUGUGGUUCUUGCUCAGAGUGAAGUAGCAAAAGCAGCAGCUACUCUUCCUGGGGUCCAACACAAAACAUGGAACCAUAAUAGACAAGAAAAGCUCAAGGACAGAACUACAUCAAUAAAACAAUAAGCCUAGACAACUAGAGGUUAGAGAGUUGAAUAAUAGCUGGAAGAUUGGAUCAACUAGAAGGUUCAUUUUGUUCGCAAAAUGGACAAUCUAGACGGAACUCAAAUAUAAACUCAACAUGUAAAUAAAAGAUCCUACAAUAUUUCCAUACGCACAAAAAGCUAAUUUCUAAUUUCUCUCAAAUGGUGUGCACAAAUCAAAGCACAUGUAUUUAUAUAGCCCUUCUUACAUCAGCUGAUAUCUCAAAGUGCUGUACAGAAACCCAGCCUAAACCCCCAAACAGCAAGCAAUGCAGGUGUAGAAGCACGGUGGCUAGGAAAAACUCCCUAGAAAAGCCAAAACCUAGGAAGAAACCUAGAGAGGAACCAGGCUAUAGGGGUGGCCAGUCCUCUUCUAGCUGUGCCGGUUGGAGAUUAUAACAGAACAUGGCCAUGAUGUUCAAAUGUUCAUAAAUGACCAGCAUGGUCAAAUAAUAAUAAUCACAGUAGUUGUCGAGGGUGCAACAAGUCAGCACCUCAGGAGUAAAUGUCAGUUGGCUUUUCAUAGCCGAUCAUUAACAGUAUCUCUACCGCUCCUGCUGUCUCUAGAGAGUUGAAAACAGCAGGUCUGGGACAGGUAGCACGUCUGGUGAACAGGUCAGGGUUCCAUAGCCAGAGGCAGAACAGUUGAAACUGGAGCAGCAGCACGGCCAGGUGGACUGGGGACAGCAAGGAGUCAUCAUGCCAGGUAGUCCUGAGGCAUGGUCCCAGGGCUCAGGUCCUCCGAGAGAGAGAGAGAAAGAAAGAAAGAGAGAGAAUUAGAGAGAGCAUACUUAAAUUCACACAGGACACCGGAUAAGACAAGAGAAGUACUCCAAAUAUAACAGACUGACUCUAGCCCCCCCGUCACAAACUACUGCAGCAUAAAUACUGGCUGCUGAGACAGGAGGGGUCAGGAGACACUGUGGCCCCAUCCGAUGAUACCCCCGGAUAGGGCCAAACAGGCAGGAUAUAACCCCACCCACUUUGCCAAAGCACAGCCCCCACAACACUAGAGGGAUAUCUUCAACCACCAACUUACCAUCCUGAGACAAGGCAGUGUAUAGCCAACAAAGAUCUCUGCCAAGGCACAACAAAUUUGUUUGCAUUCCUGUUAGUGAACAUUUCUCCUUUGCCAAGAGAAUCUAUCCACAUGACAGGUGUGGCAUAUCAAGAAGAUGAUUGAAUAGCAUAAUCAUUGCACAGGUGCACCUUGUGCAGGGGACAAUAACAGACCACUCUGUAAUGUGCAGUUUUGUCACACAACACAAUGCCACAGAGGUCUCAAGUUGAGGGAGUGUGCAAUUGGCAUGCUGACUGCAGGAAUGUCCACCAGAGCUGUUGCCAGAGAAUUGAAUGUUAAGUUAGAGAUAGGGCUGACUACUGCCCCCUUUGGAGGAAUUGCGUGCCCAUAGUAAACAAAACAAAAUCCGUCCAAAAUUGCUAAUAUAUGCAUAUAAUAAUUAUUAUUGAAUAGAAAACACUCUAAAGCUUCUAAAACCGUUCAAAUUAAGUCUGUAAGUAAAGCAGAACUCUCAGGGCAGCCAUUCUCCCAAACUCUCUCUUGUCAUCAUGAAAGUUGGGCCAACUUUGACGUCAUCGCACCCACCCUUCCCAACCAGCUACGGAUCUGGGAACAGUUUCUAUCUCUUCAGCGCGAUGUCUCCUUUCAGUGGGGCCUGUCAUUGUGAGAAUCGCGCGCUCCCUCGAAUUUUGGCGGGCUGAAACCUUCGGGUCACGCGAAAAUACAUGUACAUUCAUGCGCGCGUCGGGUCCGGAGCUCUCUUUCUUCCAGGAUUGACCAAACGAUGUUGGUUUGUCUGUUCGAGCUAAGGAUUGUUUUACACGUUAAGAACAUGCUAAAGCUUGAUUCUGCACUUAGUUUGACCAGUUUAGUCGACAUAUAAUAUGUCAUUUUGAAGUUUUGAUGCGCAUCCACUAGAAUUUUGGCUGCAUUUCAGACGGAAUUUGUCGUGUUUGAUAGCCCAAAGACACAGACUUGAAAACCAAACGCAGUUUUUGGUAAGUAUGACUCCUUCCACGGCUUCUGAUCGAAGAACAUCAAAGGUAAGGGAAUAUUUAUGUGGUAAUUUUUGUGUUUCUGUGGACUCCAACAUAAAGGAGACAUAAUGCUAAUGUGUGAGCGCCGUCUCAUAUUAUAGCCUAGUGAACGAAUUCUGUAACGUUAAAAAUAAAUGUAACACAGCGGUUGCAUUAAGAAGAAGUGUAUCUUUCUAUCUAUAUGUAGAACAUGUAUAUUUAGUCAAAGUUUAUGAUGUGUAUUGCUUGUUAUCUGACGUUAUCUGGUGGAGCUAUCAUCAUUUCUCCGGACAUUUGAGUAGCAUUUUUUCAACAUGGCGUCAUUGUAAACAGAGAUUUAUGGAUAUAAAUGGCAUAUUAUUGAAAAAAACAUAAAUGUACUGUGUAACAUGUCCUAUUUUCAAAAGGUUAGUGAAUUAUUUUUCUUUUAAUCCUGCGUUUGUUGAUUGCAUUUUUUGGCUAUUCAAAUGAGCUGUGUCUUUGGUGGUGGUUUGACAUAAAUAUGUGCUAUGUUUUCGUCGUAAAACAUUUUAGAAAUCUGACUUGCGGGCUGGAUGAACAAGGUGUUUAUCUUUCAUUUGAGCUAUUGGACUUGUUAAUGUGUGGAGGUUAAAUAUUUCUAAGAAUAUUUUUGCAUUCCAUGCGCCACCGUUCCAGCUGAACGUGGGAGGGGUCGUUCCCAAAAGGGAAUCCUACCCCGUCAACAGGUUAAUUUCUUUACCGUAAGCCGCCUCCAUGUCAUUUUAGAGAAUUUGACAUUUUGUUGCACGUUGUGUUUUUAAAAAAUCAGUAUAUAUUACCGUAAGACACUAACUGGUGGUAGAUUUGCAUCCUACAAUUUUGGACCUAUUUUCUUUAUUUUGGGCUUUAAAGAGGCACAGCCUAUUGAAUCAUUGAAUUUCGAAGAGAAAGUAACAAGUGCCAUGAUCAAUUGGACCAAUUGGACAGAGAUUUUUUUUUUAAAAUGCUCCGAAGAUGAGAAUAUUAGCACCAGAUCGAGAGAUAAAAUAUUUGAACAGAAUAAUCAAAUUUUUGAGAAUGUAAUUUCUGUACAGACAAAGUGCUACACUGAAAAUAAAUGUGGAUUGUCAGUGGAGUAUGAGACCUGACAUAUUUAGAAUUAGAAUUGAAGAGAAAUUCUAUUUCUGUUUAUACAUGGAGUCCAUGUACUGUGAAGCUACAUUGUGAUGCAUAGGCCAGUUUUUGCUGUUAAAUUAUGCCUAUGCAAUCUUGCCUUUUUUUCAAGGGCCAGAGUUAUGUUGUUAGAUGAGGAUUAAAGUUUAAGUUAUUUAGUAAAGUCUAUCUAUUAUAAAUAAUUAACUCAAUGAAAGAUUUGUUAAAAUGAAAGAUUUGUUGAAGGCCAUCAUCCUUCAUUUUCCUACCCAUCUAAUGUUGUAUUAUUAUCAGUAUACUGUAAUUCAUCUUUUAACUGCAAAUAUAUAGCCUACAAGAUCAGAUCAAAUAAACCUUACUCAAAACCCAUGUUUAAAACUAUACUUUUGGAAUAACUACAUGACCCAUAAUGCUCUUUGACUGAACAUUCUAAAUUACCGUGGCAAUUAAUAGUAAACCAUGGAAUUUAUGCAUCACAAUAGUUAUUCUAUGGUAUGUGGUCAGACAGAGACUUUAAUUGCCAUACAAGGUGCCACUGGAGGUAGAGAGGGGAGAAAGUUGGAAGGGUCGGCUGAAGGUUUGAACCUCGGUCUCUGGCGAGGAGUCGCAUAGGUAUUGAGGGCGGGGAGUGUUACCACUCCGCCAUGGCUCUGCACACCCAGUUAUAUUUGUAACCAAAGUAUUUUUCAAUAUUGCAUCUAUUUGGUGACAUUUUGCAUAAAUAAGCAAUUGGCAGUGAGAAAAAUAUGCACGAAACGUAAUAUAGAAGAGAAGUUCUGAAUAUCUUAUAUUUACCAGCAUGAAUUUGUUUUGUGCAGGGUAGAAUAUGCAUUAAAUGGAGGAUUCUGUGAUGGAAUGGCAUUGAAUUAAAUUAAUCAGAUCCAUUGAUUUACGCUAGUUGCUUAUACUUCACCAUAUUCCAGUUUAAUUACUUACAAAAAUACAGGAAAUCAAAUCAAAUUUUAUUUGUCACUUGCGCCGAAUACAACAGGUGUAGUAGACCUUAACGUGAAAUGCUUACUUACAAGCCCUGAACCAACAAUGCAAUUCAAGAAAUGUAUAUAACAAUAAGGAGGCUAUAUACAGGGGGUACCGGUACCGAGUCAAUUGGCAGGGGUACAGGUUAGUCGAGGUAAUUUUUAAAGUGACUAUGCAUAGAUAACAAACAUUGAGUAGCAUCCGUGUAAAAACUAAAUGUAAAUAGUCCGGGAGGCCAUUUCAUUAGUUGUUCAGAAGUCUUAUGGCUUGGGGGUAGAAGCUGUUGAGGAGCCUUUGGGUCCUAGAGAACAGUCUAUGACUUGGGUGACUGGAGUCUUUGACAAUUAUUUGGGCCUUCCUCUGACACUUCCUAGUACACACACUACUGUUCAAAAGUUUGGGGUUACUUAGAAAUGUCCUUGUUUUUGAAAGAAAAGCUUUUUUUUUGUCCAUUAAAAUAACAUCAAAUUGAUCAGAAAUACAGUAUAGACACAUUGUUAAAACUUCUUAGGGAUCAAAUCCCGUUAACGGGAUCGAUUUGACAACAGCCAGUGAAAUUGCAGGGCGCCAAAAUCAAACAACAGAAAUCUCAUAAUUAACAUUCGUCAAACAUACAAGUAUUAUACACCAUUUUAAAGAUAAACUUCUUGUUAAUCCAACCACAGUGUCCGAUUUCAAAAAGGCUUUACGGCGAAAGCAUACCAUGCGAUUAUGUUAGGUCAACGCCUAGUCGCAAAAAACAUACAGCCAUUUUCCAGCCAAAGAGAGGAGUCACAAAAAGCAGAAAUAAAGAUAAAAUUAAUCACUAACCUUUGAUGAUCUUCAUCAGAUGACACUAAUAGGACUUUGUUACACAAUACAUGUAUGUUUUGUUCGAUAAAGUUUAUAUUUAUAUCCAAAAAUCUCAGUUUACAUUGGCACGUUAUGUUCAGUAAUGUUUUGCCUCCAAAACAUCCAGUGAAUUUGCAGAGAGCCACAUCAAUUUACAAAAAUACUCAUCAUAAACUUUGAUGAAAGAUACAAGUGUUAUACAUAGGAUUAAAGAUAAACUUCUCCUUAAUGCAACUGCUGUGUCAGAUUUCAAGCUUUACGGCGAAAGCACACCAUGUGACAAUCUGAGUACAGCGCUCAGCCACCGAAACAAUCCAUACAGUUACCCACCAAGUUGUGGAGUCAACAAAAGUCAGAAAUAGCAUUAUAAAUAUUCACUUACCUUUGAUGAUCUUCAUCGGAAUGCACUCCCAGGAAUCCCAGUUCCACAAUAAAUGUUUGUUUUGUUCGAUAAAGUCCAUCUUUAUGUCCAGAUAGCGCAUUUAGUUCACUAAUCCAAAUGCACACAGCGCGGGCACUAAGUCCAGACGAAAAGUCUAAAAAGUUCCAUUAAAGUUCGUAGAAACAUGUCAAACAAUGUGUAUAAUCAAUCUUUAGGAUGUUUUUAUCAUAAAUCUUCAAUAAUAUUGUAACUGGACAAUUCCGUUGUCAUUAGAAAGGAAAGUGAACGACCGUCGCGCUCACGGCCACAACUAAUGGCUUUCAGGCUGACCCCUUUCACAAUAGAAACCUGAAACAACAUUCUAAAGACUGUUGACAUCUACUGGAAGCCGUAGGAAGUGCAAUCUAACCCCAUUUACACUGGAUAUUGGAUAGACAAUCACUUGAAAAACUACUAACCUCAGAUUUCCCACUUCCUGGUUGGAUUUUUCUCAGGUUUUCGCCUGCCAUAGGAGUUCUGUUAUACUCACAGACAUCAUUCAAACAGGUUUAUAAACUUCAGAUUGUUGUCUAUGCAACUAUACUAAUAAUAUAUAUAUAUCCUAGCUUCUGGGCCUGAGUAGCAGGCAGUUUACUUUGGGCACACUUUUCAUCCGGACAUGAAAAUACUGCCCCCUAUCCCAAAGAAGUGUUGAUGUUGUAAAUUUCUGAUGUAGCUGGAAUCGGCUGAUCUUUUUAUGAAAUAUCUUCAUAGGCGUACAGAGGCCCAUUAUCAGCAACCAUCCCUCCUGUGUUCCAAUGGCACGUUGUGUUAGCGAAUCAAAGUUUAUCAUUUUAAACCCUUUUGCAAUUAUGUUAGCACAGCUGAAAACUGUUGUCCUGAUUAAAAAAAGCAAUACAACUAGCCUUCUUUAGACUAGUUGAGUAUCUGGAGAAUCAUCAUUUGUGGGUUCGAUUACAGGCUCAACAUGUCCAGACACAAAUAACUCUCUUCUGAAACUCUUCAGUCUAUUUUUGUUCUGAGAAAUGAAGGCUAUUCCAUGCGACAAAUUGCCAAGAAACUGAAGAUCUCGUAUAACACUGUGUACUACUCCCUUCACAGAACAGUGCAAACGGGCCCUAAACAGAAUAUAAAGAGUGGGAGGCCCCGGUGCACAACUGAGCAGGAGGACAAGUACAUUAGUGUCUAGUUUGAGAAACAGACGCCUCACAAGUCCUCAAAUGGCAGCUUCAUUAAAUAGUACUCCAAAACACCAGUCUCAACGUCAACAGUGAAGAAGCAACUCUGGGAUGCUGGUUUCUAGGCAGAGUUGCAAAGAAAAAUACAUAUCUCAGACUGGCCCAAAAAAAGAAAAUAUUAAGAUGGAAAAAGAACAGACUCUGGAAGAUUGGAAAAAAAAGUGUUAUGGACAGACAAAUCUAAGUUUGAUGUGUUCAGAUCACAAAGAAUAAAAUUCUUGAGAUGCAGAAAAAAGUAAAAAGAUGCUGGAGGAGUGCUUGACACCAUCUAUUAAGCAUGGUGGAGGCAAUGUGAUGGCCUGGGGGGGCUUUGGUGGUGGUAAAGUGGGAGAUGUGUACAGGGUAAAAAGGAUCAUGAAGAAGGAAAGCUAUCACUCACAAUAAUUUUGCAACACCAUACCCUGUGGACAGCGCUUAAUUGGAGCCAAUGUCCUCCAACAACAGGACAAUGACCCGAAGCACAGCUCCAAACUAUGCAACAACUAUUUGGGGAAGAAGCAGUCAGCUGGUAUCUAUAAUGGAGUGGCCAGCACAGUCACCGGAUCUCAACCCUAUUGAGCUGUUGUGGGAGCAGCUUGACCGUAUGGUAUGUAGGAAGGGCCCAUCAAGGGACAUGGGGUGAAAUAUCUUCAGAUUACCUCAACAAAUUGACAACUAGAAUGCCUGUCACGUUCGUUGUAUGGAUGAGACCAAGGCGCAGCGUGAUGUGAAUACAUCUUCUAUUUUAAUGAAACGAAGAACACUUCAACAAACUUACAAAAACAACAAAACGAACAUUACGCUAUAUAGAAUAAGUGCAGACACAGGCAACUAAUACAUAGACAAUCACCCACGAAUUACCCAAGGAAUAUGGCUGCCUAAAUAUGGUUCCCAAUCAGAGACAACGAUAAACAGCUGCCUCUAACUGAGAACCAAUCUAAGCAACCAUAGACAUAUACAAAACACCUAGACUUGUAAACAACCCCAUUAACAUACAAAAACCCUAGUCAGGUCAAAAACACAACAAACCACCCCUUGUCACACCCUGACCUAACCAAAAUAAUAAAGUAAACAAAGAUAACUAAGGUCAGGGCGUGACAAUGCCAAAGGUCUGUGUCUAUUCGCUUUCACUUCCUGCUAGGCGAUUGAAUAAGUGCAUCGACGACAUCGUCCCCACACAGCAUAAGCUCCUAAAUUCUUCUGCAAAAAUAUAGAAAUGGAGUUGGAUAUAUGUAGAUAAACCUGAAUUGUUUUUGCAAGGACUUAUACAGGACACUAACCUCAACAUCAAAACCUUCAUUCCGGUUCACAAUUGCAUAACUAAAACCUUGAUUGUGGACAAAAUUACCUGAAUGGACUUUUAAUAUCAAGGACCAUAAAAUAAAAUAAAAAAAAUACUUCUAACAAGCCAAAACCUGCAGAAGAAAGACAGCGGAACUUGGAAAUACCAUCCAACACAAAAUUGAGUGAAUAAUGUUCGGUCUGAACCUACUUUCUGAAGCCAAAAAGUAAAAGACAAACUAAUCUCUCGGUUAUAUGAAGCUUAAUAAAUAAGUCUAACAAGCUGCUAGGAAAGAAUCUGACUGAAACUUGCACUGAAGUGUGAAAACUCUUGAUCCUAACAAUGGCAGGAGAGUUUCACAGCCCCUCCCCAGCCAAAUGCAGAGGCCUUUGAAGCCCCCUCCAUCUGUGCAGAGAAGAUAUCCUCCUCCGAAUCCCCACAAUACAACAGCCACAGGACAACUUUGUUUGCACGUGGUCAAGGACCAUUCGCUGACACUGAAAAGAUAUAACUAGCUAACUUCUCAACACGGAAAAGAAGGACAGAGACUUGCUAGCUACGUUAGCUAGCUAGCUGGGAUUUUCUAUAAGGAAUCUGCCUCCUGAAAAAAGCUUCUCCCAAGUGGGUGUGACACCUUCUCCCGUUGCCUGCUGCUCUGCUGCUUGGAUUCCAACUGACGAUCUAUUCACCGUCUGCCCUGGCCUGUCUCCCCCUGUCUGGUACAGGUAACCCAGCCACACUCCCCCCUCUCCCCCGAGCUUUCUCUCGCCUCCAGCACACAUGCACUGUUGAGGCGAGUGACUCUGAACUUACAAUGGCUAGCCCCAAGUUGUUACAUUUUUCACUUGUGCUUUAUAGAUCUUUCUAUUUUUAUUUUAUUUUGUGUUAUUGACUAUACGUUUGUUGAUGUGUAACUCUGUGUUGUUGUUUGUGUCCCACUGCUUUGCUUUAUUUUGGCCAAGUCGCAGUUGUAAAUGAGAACUUGUUCUCAGCUGGCCUACCUGGUUAAAUACAGGUGAAAUAUAUAUUUUUUAAAUAAAAAUGCAAUUUUCCUCAUGA